rnacentral:rRNA from 1 species
GAUGAACGCUGGCGGUAUGCUUAACACAUGCAAGUCGAACGGUCACUUCGGUGAUAGUGGCGGACGGGUGAGUAACGCGUGAGAAUCUGUCUUCAGGUCGGGGACAACAGUUAGAAAUGACUGCUAAUACCGGAUGUGCCCUCGGGUGAAAGAUUUAUUGCCUGAAAAAGAGCCCGCGUCGGAUUAGCUAGUAGGUGGUGUAAGAGACUACCUAGGCUCCGAUCUGUAGCUGGUCUGAGAGGACGAUCAGCCACACUGGAACUGAGACACGGUCCAGACUCCUACGGGAGGCAGCAGUGGGGAAUUGUCCACAAUGGGCGAAAGCCUGACGGUGCAAGACCGCGUGAGGGACGAAGGCUUUUGGGUCGUAAACCUCUUUUCUCAAGGAAGAUGAUGACGGUACUUGAGGAAUAAGCAUCGGCUAACUCUGUG